CUGCACAAAUGUUGCUUUGCCUUUAAAAUACUUGUUUCCUCUGGUGUGCAGUGGCUGCAGAGCAAGCAGUGUCCCCAGCAGUACAGCAGCCUGUGUGGCCUGUGUGGGCUGUCAUAAGGGACCCUGGAGAUGGUC